rnacentral:tRNA from 1 species
GGUUGUGGCUCAGUGGCAGAGCACUUGCCUCGCGCAUGUGAGGCACUGGGUUCAAUCCUCAGCACCA